rnacentral:lncRNA from 1 species
GUAAUCCAAGCUUCAGUGAAAAUUGGUUGUUGACAUUGGAUGCCCAGGCAAAUACUAAUUGGCCCGUUUUUCAAUAAAUCAUUCAGUAAAUAUCUCGCAGCGCAAGCUCCAUCAAUGAGGGAAUACUGCUCUCGUCAAUAUUAUGAACAGUAACAAGUUGUCGAGGUAGUUUGAGGAUAGUCGUGUCCUUACCGUCUUGACCCAAGAUUUCUACUUUGAGGUACAACAGAUUUUUUGUGACUCUGAUUUGUGAAGUUGUAUUGUUUUAUACAUCAAUCAAGUUGAAGCAACGCAGUAUACCUGUAUGCUG